GGCGUGGUGGCCGAGUGGUUGAAGGCAGCGGUCUUGAAAACCGCCGAACGGGAAACCGUUCCGUGAGUUCGAAUCUCACCCACGCCG
rnacentral:tRNA from 1 species